UGACGGUACCUGCAGAAGAAGCGCCGGCUAACUACGUGCCAGCAGCCGCGGUAAUACGUAGGGCGCGAGCGUUGUCCGGAAUUAUUGGGCGUAAAGAGCUUGUAGGCGGUUUGUUGCGUCUGCUGUGAAAGACCGGGGCUUAACCCCGGUAUUGCAGUGGGUACGGGCAGACUAGAGUGCAGUAGGGGAGACUGGAAUUCCUGGUGUAGCGGUGAAAUGCGCAGAUAUCAGGAGGAACACCGAUGGCGAAGGCAGGUCUCUGGGCUGUAACUGACGCUGAGAAGCGAAAGCAUGGGGAGCGAACAGGAUUAGAUACCCUGGUAGUCCAUGCCGUAAACGUUGGGCACUAGGUGUGGGGGACAUUCCACGUUUUCCGCGCCGUAGCUAACGCAUUAAGUGCCCCGCCUGGGGAGUACGGCCGCAAGGCUAAAACUCAAAGGAAUUGACGGGGGCCCGCACAAGCGGCGGAGCAUGCGGAUUAAUUCGAUGCAACGCGAAGAACCUUACCAAGGCUUGACAUAUACUG
rnacentral:rRNA from 1 species